CAAGUCUGGUGCCAGCAGCCGCGGUAAUUCCAGCUCCAAUAGCGUAUAUUAAAAUUGUUGCAGUUAAAACGCUCGUAGUUGAAUUUCAAAGAAUCGAUAUUUUAAGUAAUGCUUUGUAUAUAUAUAACAAAGUUGUACGUUAAGACCGCCAAGCGUUAUAUUCUUUCUGUUACAUUUUGUAAUAUUAAUAUAUAUAUGCGUUCUUAUUAUAAAAAUGAUUCUUUUUAAAAUUUUUUUGUUUAAUUUUUUAUGCAUGGGAAUUUUGUUACUUUGAGUAAAUUAGAGUGUUCAAAGCAAACAGUUAAAGCAUUUUCUGCGUUUGAAUACUACAACAUGGGAUAACAAAAUUGAACAAGUCAAAAUUUCUGAAAAUGUUCUUUUUUCUUAUUUUGGCUUAGUUACGAUUAAUAGGAGUAGCUU
rnacentral:rRNA from 1 species